UCACGUCACACAAAGGCGCCACAUCAGCUUUGUAACGGACAACUCAGCAAUUGAUGUGUAUUGUUCCGUUUAAAGUCAAAGCUUUUAACGGAUUUUUUAACUUUUUGUUAGAAAAGUCGAGUACAAUGAGUUGACUGUAAAAAAAAAAUUCAGUUAUCUAUUUGUAAGUUGACAUAUAAUACAGUGACUGAAAAAUAUUUAAUCCAAUCCAGAUCAUACAGAUAACCCAGAUUGAAAAGAAGAUUUUGAUUGCAUGCAUGAUCCAUGAGGCAUGAUGGUUGGUCAUGCAAUAAUUUCACUUUGAAAACCACAUCUAUAAUUGUAGGAUGGGAGUAGGAAAAGAUGCUACGGAUAAACAUUAGUUGUUGGUUGUCAAAUAAAGCUAUUGGAGAAGUUCUCAACACAACUCUCUGUGGCAACCUUUUUCUGCCAUAAUAAAUACUUUUACCCUAAUCUCACGUCCCGCGAAAGAUUUUUG
rnacentral:lncRNA from 1 species